rnacentral:rRNA from 1 species
UACGAAGGGGGCUAGCGUUGCUCGGAAUCACUGGGCGUAAAGGGCGCGUAGGCGGCGUUUUAAGUCGGGGGUGAAAGCCUGUGGCUGAACCACAGAAUGGCCUUCGAUACUGGGACGCUUGAGUAUGGUAGAGGUUGGUGGAACUGCGAGUGUAGAGGUGAAAUUCGUAGAUAUUCGCAAGAACACCGGUGGCGAAGGCGGCCAACUGGACCAUUACUGACGCUGAGGCGCGAAAGCGUGGGGAGCAAACAGG